rnacentral:rRNA from 1 species
GACGAACGCUGGCGGCGUGCCUAAUACAUGCAAGUCGAGCGAAUCUUUUGGGAGCUUGCUCCCUUAAGAUUAGCGGCGGACGGGUGAGUAACACGUGGGUAACCUGCCUGUAAGACUGGGAUAACUUCGGGAAACCGGAGCUAAUACCGGAUACUUUCUUUUCUCGCAUGAGGGAAGAUGGAAAGAUGGUUCUGCUAUCACUUACAGAUGGACCCGCGGCGCAUUAGCUAGUUGGUGAGGUAACGGCUCACCAAGGCGACGAUGCGUAGCCGACCUGAGAGGGUGAUCGGCCACACUGGGACUGAGACACGGCCCAGACUCCUACGGGAGGCAGCAGUAGGGAAUCUUCCGCAAUGGACGAAAGUCUGACGGAGCAACGCCGCGUGAGCGAAGAAGGCCUUCGGGUCGUAAAGCUCUGUUGUUAGGGAAGAACAAGUACGAGAGUAACUGCUCGUACCUUGACGGUACCUAACCAGAAAGCCACGGCUAACUACGUGCCAGCCGCCGCGGUAAGAC